AGUGAGUCUUGGACGUACGUAAGUGAGUCUUGGACGUACGUAAGUGAGUCUUGGACGUACGUAAGUGAGUCUUGGACGUACGUAAGUGAGUCUUGGACGUACGUAAGCGAGUCUUGGACGUACGUAAGUGAGUCUUGGACGUACUGGACCACAAAGUUUUGAUAGCUGAACAAGUUUGUGAACUAUUUACAUGUUUGUGUCUGGUUACAAUCGUAAUGAGUUCAACUUAUCCUUGAUGAGACUAAAACACUGGACACUGGAUUCCAGAGUGAGGGAGUCAUUACCUCAUCCUCCACUGUCUCCAAUUUUAACACCUCCUAAUUACACUUGUACUGAAUUAGUGAAGCCUCUGGUUAAUGAAACUUAUCUACACUAAAUAUAUUCAAGAGGUCCACAUGUGUAUAACUAUUAUUAUUAUUAUUAUUAUUAUUAUUAUUAUUAUUAUUAUUAUUAUUAUUAUUAUUCAGUAGCAUCAAGGCACCCUUCUCCCUCACCCUGAAGAGUUUCAUCGUAAAAGACACCAUAGAACAGAACAUGAUUCUCUCGGAACAAACAAGAUGAUUCAUGUUGGAUUCUGACCUUUUCUCUUUAGGAUUAGAAAAACAAAUUAUAAUUCAUUGUUAUAUUUUUCCUUGUCCAAUUUAUCAAGACGAAAAUACAGACACAUCUUUGGUCUUUAAAAUAACUGUACAAGGAUCGUGACAUGUUUGUGUCUAACAUUAACACGACUGAUCAGUCACAGGUACCAAUGUUGAUAAAAAAGAUACAUGUGCAGCAAUCAGUCCCUCAGCUGAGGGACUGACCAUCUCAAAAUUUACAUCUCUGCUACUUCUGCUGAUUCCUCUGUAACUUGACUGAAGAAGCCUACUGUGUAGGUGAAACGUUUCGGAAUAAAGAUACCUAACUGUUGCAUAUGUGUCUUACUUAUCAACUUGUCGGUAUUGUAUACCAUUGUCAUAGUCACAGGUACCAAUGUCAGUCUCUGUUACAGAUGGUCUCUCACAGUGUACCAGCAGUUAACGGUACUGAAAUCAAUCAUCAUUUCAUUGUACUUUUGAUUACCUCAUUAUCAGAAUGAACUUGCAAAAGAAAUAAGACCUUUAUCAAAUUUAAACUUAAGACGAUCGCAGCUAUAUUACUGGAUGCUCUUCUUAUGGGUCCAGAGUGGAAGAGGAGGCAUGACGUAACUGGUCUAGAAAAACUAGCUAAUUGAAGAAUGAGACGCAUGCGCAAUAUGCGAGAAUCUUUAUUGAGGAAACGUUUCGCCAGUCAGUGACUGGCGAAACGUCAGCUAUUCAGUGACUUGCGAAACGCUAGCUAGUCAAUGACUGGCGAAAGAUUUCCUCUAUAAGAUUCCCGAAUGUUGCACAAGGGUCUCAUUCUUCAUCUCUCUGUCGCCUUGAAGACCGCAUCACACAAAUGGAACGAGUGUUUUACAAUAAAGAAUGAAAGUUAGCUGGGACUUGAUGAGGCUCCAGGACGCAGUGAUGGCAAUAGAUUCAGGUUCCCCUCGAGUUUACAGUAACACAGCUGUAUACGUCGAUGUUUCUCUGGGAAUUAUACACUACUAAUCUGCUACUGUAUCAGGAGUCUUCAGAAAAUGAUACUCAGAUCUAGAAUCAGAGAGGGAUUUAUACCGGGGUCUGGUCUUGGACUAGUGGUUAUUAUGUGGCACUAAAUCCUCUUCCCACAUUACUUGGAAUUACUAUGGUACUCUAAGAUUUUAACUACUCAGGAUCAAGUUAUUAUAAACUUUAGAGUAAGGAAUGCUAUCUUAUUACUUUUUCUCAGAACACGAAAUCUGGCUAUCUCAAAAGAUAUGUUAAUCCAUUCUCUUCUUUAUAUUCGUAAUUGUUAAGAGUACAUAAGUCUUCAAACUAUAUAUAACAGUUACUAGCAGCGGUUGACUUACAAACUAAGCCAAGACAUUUAUAGAUUUUUUUGGAAUUUAAAAGUAAAACAUACACAAUGAAAAACAUACGAACUUAUAUUCACAUAAAAAAAAAGUUAAUUUUAUUUACAAGCAAUAAAGUAACCAGCUUUUCAGAGUUCAUAAUUCUCACAAGACAAACCUGAGAUCAAAUCUUUCUCAAACAGGAAGAUGAAAACUCAAAGUGUUGCUGCUGAAGCCUUUCAGCAACACAAUAAUAAAAAUCAAGCAGAGUCUUAUGGCCAAACAUUCUGUGGAAUACAAUGAGAACUUUAACACUGGCACCUAAACCUUCAUGGAAACCCUAAGAUAAUACCAAAAACAAAAUAUUCAUCGGAAUAACAAAAUAAUUCAGAUACAGUCUUGAGAGUAAACCAUGAAGGAACACGAACACGACAACUUAAAUAGUCUCAUAUGUGAAUAAACUUAAUCUGGGUUCAGUCUCAAGUAUGGGUUCAACAAUCAUCUGUCUUGCGUCUCCGUCUCAGGCAAAGAGUUCUAGAUUGAAAAGUAAAUAAGUGUACAAGAACAGUUAGAAAAUAUACAAGAAAGCAUAGCUGUUUGAAUAUAGAAUGCAAGUAGAAAUUUUAAAGAUUCAACUGACAUUCUGUAGCAAUCCUGCCGGAGUUCAAAAUAUUUUACAGGCUUCCAUUUCACACCCAUAUGACAGAAUUGUUCAUCCCUGUAUGGUUGCUGCCACCCAGCCUAUCGCCUACUUCUUAUGGCUUAAUCUUCCUGGGAUGCAGAAAUAAGAGCUCAUACAUAGUCUUACGACCAACACUCACAGAGCAUGAAGAGCUAGGAAAUAGUCCUGCGAUAAAACCUUACGGGAUAAUGCUAAGAACUCAAACAAAAUCCUGUAACCAAAUUUUCCGGGAGCCUAGAGACGAAAGCUCUCAACUACAGAUUUGUGAACACUGUUUCCGGAGGCAUAACAAGAGAACCCAAGGAUAGCGGAGUAAACAUGACUCACGAAAUCGUAAUGACACGAUUGCAAACAAACCAUACCACGGGCGGGAUUUGAAAUCCCGCCAGUGGUAUGGUUUAUAGCGGAGCAACCAAACCAGCUGGGAAUACGACGAUGAGAGUUAAAAUUUCCAUGGAAUAUAAUGAUGAAAAUUUAGUCUUUUGACUAAACCUUUCAGGAGCACCAAGAUGAGAACACAACCAUAGUGUCGCAAGGAAAUCAGCCAUCUUGAGACAUCUUCCAUAAACACAAGUACAAGAACUAACUCAGACUUGCGACCAAACCUGCUUAGAACACAAAGAUUAAAACACAAACUCAAUCUUGAGACCAAAUAUUCUGUAACCGUGCAUAUAUGAGAUAUCAUACACAGUCUUGAUACCAAACCUCAAUGGAACAUGAAAUUGAGAACUCAAACACAGUUUUGCGGAUACAGCUGCAUGGAACACGAAGACGAGCUAACAUACCUUGCAGGAACACCAAGAUAAGUACUGAAACACAGUCUUGCGACGAAAUCCACCUGAAACACGAAUAUUAGAGCAUUAAAACAACCAUGCUAUUAAAGUUUUGAAAUUAAACAUCUUAGGAACACGAAGAUGACACCUUAAACAUAGAGUCAUGUACUCAAGACUUCAAAGAGCACGAAAAUGGAGCCUAAAGAAGUCUGGUUACUAAACCAUUUAGAAAACGAAGAUUAGAAUCCAGACAAUUCUGUGAUCAAAUCUUCUGCAAGUAUCAAGUUGAAAAUUCAAACGCAAGUCUUGCUACCAAACCUACAGGGAACACGAAGAUGGAUAUUCAGGCAUACCCUAACGACCUUACCCUUCAAGGUCAUGAAAAUGAAGUCACAACCACAGCAUAGUGAACAACCCUUCUAGGAACACGAAAACGAACAGUCAAACCCAGCAUUGUGAGCAGAUGUUUCGAGACGUAAAGAUUGAAACCUCAAACAAUCGCAGAAACCUUCGGGAAAGAUGAGGACGAGAAGCCAUACACAGUCUUCCUACCAAACAUUCUGUUUAUACGAUAAUACGAUUUAAACAUUAGUAUUGCGACAAAACCUUCCUUCGUGAAGGCGAGUAAUGGUUCCAGGGUCUCAGACCAAGCCUUCAAAAUCGAAGAGAAGAAAUAGAAUAUUAAUAAGAACGAGGAAGCAUGCAGGAAACGCAGGCUGAGGGCACGUUGAAUGGUGGUAAAGGUUGGCAAGAUUUACCUACAAUUUUACGUGUAUAUGAGACAGAGUAAAAUAUCAUCACUAAUGCCAGAGUGCAAAACGUGUACCAGGCUUCCGUUUAAUGCCCAUAAGAUAGAAUGGAAGUAACUUCUUGGAUGGUUACUAUCUACCAGUGUUAGACAAUACGGAGGACAGUGUUGGAAGUGUAUGAGCUAAUCAACAAAUUCUAUGCCCAGUUAAGCAUAAUUAUUAUUAACAAUAGUAUAAUCAUUAACCAUAAUUAAUUACUUAUGAAGGGUCUUCUGUGCACAGGAAACGAAAUUUACCGUGCCAUAUGAGAUGCCAUAUCAUUACUAGAAGAUGAAUGAUAAUACUGUAACAUAGGUAUGUGAUGUAACAUAGGUAUGUGAUGUAACAUAGGUAUGUGAUGUAACAUAGGUAUGUGAUGUACAGUAUAUAAGGUGUAACCAGAUGCUGGAUAUCUCGUUAACAAACUCACCAGCUUGACCUCUCUCCUUGUGAAUCAUUUUUUUUUUUUUUUUGUAAUGAUUCGGGCACUUGACUAGAGAGGCCAUCUUAAUAUCCGGCCGUCUUAAAUGAGUUACUUCGAUUACUUCUGCUGAGUUCCCUACAUAAUUGACUCUCUCCGGAUAUUCCUUCCCAUUCUUUCUUAGAUAUCAAUAUUCUGGUGAUGGUGAUAUCGCGUUGCACUCCCGAUAUCCAUCGUUGUGGUCGGAGUGUGGAUACCUCGUGGCUACGUACAGAUACUGUUGUUGUUACGCUUCUCUGUAGGUGAGACACUGAAGCCUACUUGUUAUUAUUGUAUAUUUUUGUGCUAUCUGUUAGAUUAUUACUGGAUAAACUUGUAGUGUCCAUUACUUCUGUAAUCAUUGACCUGCCUGCGGUCACAAGAGAUAUCCAUAAUCCUUUACAGUCAGGAUUAUAACAUUAUGCUCUUAUUUCUUACAAUACUCUGAUGAAGAUAAACACACUAUAUGCAGUGCUCUUCUUGACAGACUGUAUUAAACAAUGUUUAUCUACUUUCAUAGUGAUUAAAUUAAAUUAUUUUUGUAAUAACAUACUUUUAAAAUUAACCUCCGGGAUCAAGUGAACUAUUCCUAUUUAUGUUUAAUUCCUUCUUACUUCUAAUUGAAUUUUGGUAACUCUCUUAUUAUUUUCAGUAUGAAGCCCUGCCUUGGGGGUACAUAACCCUGAUCAAUCAGACCGUUAAUGCUGGCACGUAGUAACCAACCUUCGUAGAACACGAAGAUAAGAACUACCUGGAGUUUACCUGGAGAGAGUUCCGGGGGUCAACGCCCCCGCGGCCCGGUCUGUGACCAGGCCUCCUGGUGGAUCAGAACUGAAACACAGAAUCUGGCUCUUCAACCUUCCAGAAAUACGAAGAUGAGAAUACAAUCACAGUGAUGAAAACAGACUUCCUGGAAACAUAAAGUUCAUAAUUGAAAAAGCAUUGUGAUCAAUCGUUCCGUGUACACGAAGAUUUGAACACAAAUUCAGUCAUAAGAUCAGACCUGCCCGGAACACGAAGGAGAAAACUCGCAAGUAAACAUUCAGUAACACGAAGAUACAAUAAGAACUGACACAUUCUUGAGACAAAGCCCUUCUUGGACAAGAAUACUACAAUACAAAAAACAGUCAUGCUGUUUAUUUAUUAGGAACGUGAAAAUGAGAUCAUAAUUAACAGCUUCGUGACAAACUUCUGGCAAUGUGAAUAUGAGAAAUUACAAACAAGAGAGCAGACAAACCUUCCUGAAACACGGGGGUAAGAAUUCAGAAUCUAGUAACCAAGCCUUCUGAAAGCACAGAGGUUAAACAUCAAACAUUCUAGCUAUUAAAUAUUCCAGAAAACACGAAGAUGAGCAUUGAAAUAGAGUAUUGCGAUCAUAACAGUGAGAAUUCAAAGUCUUGCAGCCAAACCUAUAGGCAACACGAAGAUGAAUAUCCAUGCCCAGUUAACGAUCAUAUAUUUCAAGAAAGCUAAAAUGAGAGCUCAACCAUAGUCUAAUGAACAAACAUUCCAGUAACACUAAAACCAAAAUAUAAAGCAGUCUUGUGACCAGAUGUUUCGAGAACAUGCAGACAAACUAUCCGGCAAGAUCAAAAGGCAAACACAAUCUUCCCACCAAAUACAAAAACAAGUAUUGUGACUAAACAGUAGCGUGAUCAAACAGUAGCGUGAUCAAACAGUAGCGUGAUCAAACACAGUACUGCGACCAAAACUCCUACGAACACGAGGAAGAGAACUUAACAUAGCCUGGUUACCAGAUUUUCGGCGUAAGUGACUGUUUAAGCAGAGUCACUUAUCUGUUAAUACCUGGUAUAGUUUCCACUGACCGUCCCUCAUGCUGCCCGGCCUCAGACCAAGCCUGAAAAGAUUUGAAGAAGAAAUAUUAUACGAAUAAGAACUAUUAGAAAGGGCUUAGGAAACGAAGUUCAAGUGUAUACUGUAUUAUGGUAAAAGUUUGUAAGAUUUACCUGCAAUCUUACAUGUACAUGAGACAGAGAAAGAAACCAGCAAUACUGCCAGAGAGCAAAAGGCGUGACAGGCUUCCUUUCAGCACCCUUUUGACAGAACGGUAGUACCUCCCUGGAUGGUUGUUGUCUAUCAACCUCCUACCUACGUCUUAUGACCAUAUCACCUGGAAACGCAGUUCUGCGACCAUACCUUCCCUGAGCAUAAAGGUGAAACUUAAAGACUUGGUAGUCAGAUUUUCUGGGAAUAUUAAGAUCCGAAAUUCACACAGCACAGUCUUAUGACCAAACCUUCAGAAAGAAUAAAGAAAAAAAGACAAUGACUUGAGACCAUACCUUCUGGAAUAUUUUUUUAUCAAAAUUAAAUAUGCCAUCACAGCAAUGCGAUAAAAUCUCAGACACAAAGUUCUGAUCAAACCAUCUGGCAGCACAGAAAACUUACACGUAGUCUCGUUAUUAAAAAUUCCGAGAACACGAAGAUGAGAAUUUAGUAACAAUCCUACGAUCAAACUUGUAAGUAUGAAACAACAGAAUGAGAGACUAAACUUUCAUGCAACCAAACCUAUGAGCACGAAGAUGAGAGCUCAAACACAUUCGAGCAACCGAGUCCUGUGAGAGCAUAUUGCUGAGAACUUAACGAAAAUGAUAUUUUGGAGAAAGAAAACUUUUGCCGAGAAUAUACUGAAAACAUGAAACUCUAGAACGAAAAUAAGAACUCACAGUCUUGCGAUGAGAUCUGAGAUCAUAAACUUAAGAAAGCAAACAGGUCUUGUAACACACAAAAAUGCACUUAUAGUAGAGAAAGCCUUUAUUACUCAACGUUUUGCUCAAAGAUGAGUUUUAUCAAGUUAAAUAGAGGGAUUUACCAUUCUUGUAUAUAUAUAAUCUAUUGAGUGAGGUGUAGUGUUGGAAAGGUAGGUGCAGGAUAUCACUAAACCUGUUUCUGGGGUCAAAUGUAGUGAUGAAUAAGAGAGGAAUGACGAGGAGGGUCAACAAGUCAUGAGUACAGUAGUUGUCCGUCCAGGUAAGAUGACCUAUGUCAGGGAUUUUGCGAUGUUGAAGGCGUCCUGCAGCUAUCUUAUGGCACUACGAGUUUAAAUAUCUGGGGCUUCCAAACAUCUCAUGCUAUCUUACUUUUUGGUAUCAAUUGGUUUUAGGACAACGAUUCUAAACAGAUGUCGAUGGCAAGAGUUUAGGGGGAGGUCCAUGGUAGGUAUGAAAAAAUUAAAUCCUUUUCAUUCAGUAAAUUCUUGCUCCCAGCUUAUGUUUUCUCGGGCGAUAAUGAGGAUGAACAUCUGUUCUGUACACACCUUGAAACCAUUACUAUAGCUGUGGAUAUGAUAGAAUAACCUGUUCUCUUUCUCGCAACUAGCGGUGUCACAUGGGGCAGUUGUUUGAUUCGUCAGGAUGAUCCGUCUAUGGGACAAUUGUUGCGGAGUCUGCAGAGUUGUGGCUCCGGUGAUGCUGGAUGCAAGUCGGACUCCAGAAGCGGGUCAAAGACUUAUCUCUGAAUACUAAGGGAAUUCGUAGUAUCCAUUGUUUUGCACUGGUAUCAAAAAUCCUUCCUAACCCGUUCCACAAGAUCGUGGAAAAAGUGAUCCAAUGCGUCAACCUCUUGACAACAGGAACCCAGAACUCUCGCCUUUUUUAAGCAACUCUGUAAAGACAUGGAUUCAGAACAGCUGUCCUCCUUUAUUUCGCUGUGCUCUGGCCUUCGAAGAGUAAUGUUACGAAUCGACUGUUCCUAGAUAUGCAAAAUAUGGAUAAUCUUGCGGAUUACCUUAAUAAUGUAGGAGCCAUAGAUUGCAUACUUGGCUGACAUAUUUGAGCAACUGAUUAAACUGAGUCUCAAGCUACAUGGCAAGGGUACAAAUGUGUUUAAUUUCAUAGAUUUCUUGGCAAACUAGAAAAUUAGCAGAAUGAAGAUCCAUGCAGGAAAUACUGCUGAGUUCGAGAAUCUUUCAUCUGUCCUCUUCGACACUGAAGUUCAUCCGCAUGACUCGACUCAAAACUGACAUUAAUGAACACCUGAUAUCCUUGGGAA